GCGGUGGAGCAUGUGGUUUAAUUCGACGCAACGCGAAGAACCUUACCUGGGUUUGACAUCCCGAUCGUACUCUAUGGAAACAUAGGGGUCAGUUCGGCUGGAUCGGUGACAGGUGCUGCAUGGCUGUCGUCAGCUCGUGUCAUGAGAUGUUGGGUUAAGUCCCGCAACGAGCGCAACCCUUGUCCUUAGUUGCCACCAUUCAGUUGGGCACUCUAAGGAGACUGCCGGUGUUAAACCGGAGGAAGGUGGGGAUGACGUCAAGUCCUCAUGGCCCUUAUGUCCAGGGCUACACACGUGCUACAAUGGCCGGUACAAAGGGCUGCAAACCCGCAAGGGGGAGCCAAUCCCAUAAAACCGACCUCAGUUCGGAUCGGAGUCUGCAACUCGACUCCGUGAAGUUGGAAUCGCUAGUAAUCGCGGAUCAGCAUGCCGCGGUGAAUACGUUUCCGGGCCUU
rnacentral:rRNA from 1 species